rnacentral:rRNA from 1 species
UAAGGAAUAUUGCGCAAUGGGCGAAAGCCUGACGCAGCGACGCCGCGUGGGGGAUGAAGGUCUUCGGAUUGUAAACCCCUUUCGGGAGGGAAGAUGGAAUGGGGUAACCCAUUCGGGCGGUACCUCCAGAAGCAGCCACGGCUAACUUCGUGCCAGCAGCCGCGGUAAUACGAAGGUGGCAAGCGUUAUUCGGAUUUACUGGGCGUACAGGGAGCGUAGGCGGUUCGGUAAGCCCUCUGUGAAAUCUUCAGGCUUAACCUGGAAAAGUCGGAGGGGACUGCUGGGCUAGAGGACGGGAGAGGAGCGCGGAAUUCCCGGUGUAGCGGUGAAAUGCGUAGAGAUCGGGAGAAGGCCGGUGGCGAAGGCGGCGCUCUGGAACGUUUCUGACGCUGAGGCUCGAAAGCGUGGGGAGCCAACAGGAUUAGAUACCCUUGUAGUCCCUGAGCGGGCUGGCAAGGCGCAU